rnacentral:rRNA from 1 species
ACGCUGGCGGCGUGCCUAAUACAUGCAAGUAGAACGCUGAAGACUUUAGCUUGCUAAAGUUGGAAGAGUUGCGAACGGGUGAGUAACGCGUAGGUAACCUGCCUACGUAGCGGGGGAUAACUAUUGGAAACGAUAGCUAAUACCGCAUAACAGCAUUUAACACAUGUUAGAUGCUUGGAAAGGAGCAAUUGCUUCACUAGUAGAUGGACCUGCGUUGUAUUAGCUAGUUGGUGAGGUAACGGCUCACCAAGGCGACGAUACAUAGCGACCUGAGAGGGUGAUCGGCCACACUGGGACUGAGACACGGCCCAGACUCCUACGGGAGGCAGCAGUAGGGAAUCGUUCGGCAAUGGGGGCAACCCUGACCGAGCAACGCCGCGUGAGUGAAAGAGGGUUUUCGGAUCGUAAAGCUCUGUUGUAAGAGAAGAACGUGUGUGAGAGUGGAAAGUUCACGACAGUGACGGUAACUUACCAGAAAGGACGGCUAACUACGUGCCAGCAGCCGC